rnacentral:rRNA from 1 species
GAUGAACGCUGGCGGCGUGCUUAACACAUGCAAGUCGAACGGAAAGGUCCUGCUCUUGCUGGGCUCUCGAGUGGCGAACGGGUGAGUAACACGUGAGUAACCUGCCCUUGACUUUGGGAGAACUUCAGGAAACUGCGGCUAAUAUCGGAUAGGAUCUCCUGCUGCGUGUUGUGGGUUGGAAAGAUUCGGCUGUGGGGUAUGUACUCGCUGCUUAUCAGCUUGUUUGGGGGGUAGUUGCUUACCAAGGGUUUGACGGGUAGCCGGCCUGAGAGGGUGACCGGCCACAAUGGGCCUGCGAUACGGAGCAGAAGCCAACGGGCGGCAGCAGUGGAGAGUAUUGCACAAUGGGCGGAAGCCUGAUGCAGCAACGCCGCGUGCGGGAUGACGGCCUUCGGGUUGUAAACCAAUUUGGAAUGUGACGAAGCGGGAGUGACGGUAAUGGGUAAAGAAGCAACGGCUAACUACGUG